GACGAACGCUGGCGGCGCGCUUAACACAUGCAAGUCGAGCGAGAACCCAGGCUUCGGCCUGGGGGAAAGCGGCGAACGGGUGAGUAUCACGUGGGUAAUCUGCCCUCGGCAUCGGGAUAGCCCGGGGAAACCCGGGUUAAUACCGAAUGGCCCAUCCGCUCUUCGGAGCGGCUGGAAAAGGUAGCUUCGGCCUCCGGCCGAGGAGGAGCCCGCGGCGGAUUAGCUUGUUGGUGGGGUAACGGCUCACCAAGGCGACGAUCCGUAGCUGGUCUGAGAGGACGAUCAGCCACACUGGGACUGAGACACGGCCCAGACUCCUACGGGAGGCAGCAGUGGGGAAUCUUGCGCAAUGGGCGAAAGCCUGACGCAGCGACGCCGCGUGCGGGAAGAAGGCCUUCGGGUUGUAAACCGCUUUCAGGAGGGACGAAGCCACUCAGGUUAAUAGCCGAGAGGGUGACGGUACCUUCAGAAGAAGCCCCGGCUAACUACGUGCCAGCCGCCGCGGUAAUAC
rnacentral:rRNA from 1 species